rnacentral:rRNA from 1 species
UACGGAGGGAGCUAGCGUUAUUCGGAAUUACUGGGCGUAAAGCGUACGUAGGCGGCUUUGUAAGUAAGAGGUGAAAGCCCGGAGCUCAACUCCGGAACUGCCUUUUAGACUGCAUCGCUUGAAUCCAGGAGAGGUGAGUGGAAUUCCGAGUGUAGAGGUGAAAUUCGUAGAUAUUCGGAAGAACACCAGUGGCGAAGGCGGCUCACUGGACUGGUAUUGACGCUGAGGUACGGAAAGCGUGGGGAGCAAACAGG